rnacentral:tRNA from 1 species
AAAAAGGUAAGCUAAUUCAAGCUUCUGGGUUCAUACCCCAUCUAUGGGGGUAUAAAACCUCCUCUUUUUG